CCUACGGGCGGCAGCAGUAGGGAAUAUUGCUCAAUGGGGGAAACCCUGAAGCAGCAACGCCGCGUGGAGGAUGAAAGUUUUCGGAUUGUAAACUCCUUUUGUUAGAGAAGAUAAUGACGGUAUCUAACGAAUAAGCACCGGCCAACUCCGUGCCAGCAGCCGCGGUAAUACGGAGGGUGCAAGCGUUACUCGGAAUCACUGGGCGUAAUGCGCGCGUAGGCGGGAUAGCAAGUCAGAUGUGAAAUCCUAUGGCUUAACCAUAGAGCUGCAUUUGAAACUGUUAUUCUAGAGUAUGGGAGAGGUAGGUGGAAUGCUUGGUGUAGGGGUAAAAUGCGUAGAGAUCAAGAAGAAUACUGAUUGCGAAGGCGACCUGCUAGAACAUAACUGACGCUGAUGCGCGAAAGCGUGGGGAGCAAACAGGAUUAGAUACCCGUGUAGUC
rnacentral:rRNA from 1 species